rnacentral:lncRNA from 1 species
UUGCAUCUUUGGAGCAGGCACUAUUUUGAAAGCGUUGGGGAACUAGUGGGGAAGGUAGUGGAGGUGGAUCAGGCGACCGUGGCUAGGGAAGUGCUAGAGUAUGUUCGUGUACGAGUUUGUAUUCCGGUAGGUGUUUUGUUACGUGUGAAGAAGGUGAGUAUAAACGGCCUCUCUUGUGUGGUAUCUUUCGAAGAAGAGACAUAUAUGUCGGAUUAUAAGUUAAGAAGUUUCUUCAGCAA